rnacentral:rRNA from 1 species
UACGGGGGGGGCAAGCGUUGUUCGGAAUUACUGGGCGUAAAGGGCGCGUAGGCGGUCCGCUAAGUUGGAUGUGAAAACUCUGGGCUCAACCCAGAGCCUGCAUUCAAAACUGACGGGCUAGAGUUCUGGAGGGGGUAGCGGAAUUCCUGGUGUAGCGGUGAAAUGCGUAGAUAUCUGGAGGAACACCGGAGGCGAAAGCGGUCCACUGGGCAACUUCUGACGCUGAGGUGCGAAAGCUAGGGUAGCAAACGGG